UACGUAGGGUGCAAGCGUUGUCCGGAAUUAUUGGGCGUAAAGAGCUCGUAGGCGGCUUGUCGCGUCGGAUGUGAAAGCCCGGGGCUUAACUCCGGGUCUGCAUUCGAUACGGGCAGGCUAGAGUUCGGUAGGGGAGAUCGGAAUUCCUGGUGUAGCGGUGAAAUGCGCAGAUAUCAGGAGGAACACCGAUGGCGAAGGCAGGUCUCUGGGCAUUAACUGACGCUGAGGAGCGAAAGCAUGGGGAGCGAACAGG
rnacentral:rRNA from 1 species